UGUAAGUUGUGUUUACUCCAUGUGUAACUCUGUGUUGUUGUUUGUGUCGCACUGCUUUGCGUUAUCUUGGCCAGGUCGCCGUUGUAAAUGAGAACUUGUUCUCAACUGGCCUACCUGGUUAAAUAAAGGUGAAAUAGAAGUAUGAUCCACCAGGUGGAUUUUCAGAGAGUGGGUUUUCCUGAAUGAGAGGAUAGGGGGCGGAGUUGAUGAACACCAUCUUACCUAAACUACUUCCCUAAUGUUAAGAGAGAGAGAGAGAGAGAGAGAGAGGGAGCAGAGUUGAGGGUCUUCAUUUUAUCCAGACAGUGUCUAACGCGUGGUUAGUGUGCGGAGCACAACAGUCCGUUGUCUAGGGCAUGACGGCGACUAGCCAUGCAUAAACAGACAGGGCAGACAGACAACAGGAAAUAAUGGGCUCCAGCUAUACCUCAUAAACAACCGGCUUGUUGUUCUGUUCAUGUUUUAUCCAGCCAGUCGCUGUCUGAGUUGACCGAGUAUCGACCGUUCGCAUCUCGUCUCAGUCUUCUUUCCAUAUUUGCUCUUCAUCUCUCCUCUCUUUUUCUUCUUCACCAUGGGAUGUUCUUCGUCCAGCACACAGACUGUCGAUGAGGAGAAGAGACCGGGGACAAAACCCGAGGAGUCCAACGGAGACAUAUUUGUUGUCAGGAAUGGUCACAUCUCGGAGGACACGGAGACCAUCGCUGACCAGAUGCAGCUUCCUGUCCAGAGUGCCCUGACUGAUGACUCUGAGGAACCUGUCAUCAUGGCCUCAGAGGCCCUGGAGACCAUGGGGUCUGGAUGGGAGGAGGACCAGGUCCUGGAGAUGCUGGCUGCAGCCGAGCCAGAGGUUGCCCCAGAAGCCGCUGCUGAGGCUGCAGCCGUAGAUGCAAAGGUCCCUUCAGAGGCUGUGGUCUUAGUAGAGGCUGUGGUCCCAGUGGAGGUGGCGGCCCCUGUUGAGGCUGUCGUGGUUGAGGCCGCUCCUGUGGCAGAGGCUCCUGCUGAGACAGUGGUGUCUGAGGAGGCCACUGUUGUUGAAACUGGAGCUGCAGUGGAGGUGGCUACCCUGGUCGAGGCAGCUGCACCCGUGGACGCUGCUGCCCCAGUCGAGGUGGCUGAAACUGUCCCAGAGGCAGCUCCAGCCCCGACAGAGGAGACCCCAGCUCCAGCCCCGACAGAGGAGACCCCAGCUCCAGCCCCGACAGAGGAGACCCCAGCUUCAGCCCCGACAGAGGAGACCCCAGCUCCAGCCCCGACAGAGGAGACCCCAGCUCCAGCCCCGACAGAGGAGACCCCAGCUCCAGCCCCGACAGAGGAGACCAAAGAUGCCCCAGCCCCUGUGGCCGCUGUCCCUGAGCCAGUAACCCCUGCUGCUGAGCCUGUGGCUGCUGUCCCAGAGGGGGCCCCCGCUGUGGAGGCCCCUGCACCCAGUGUCCCCAUAACUGACCAUGUUGUUGCUGCUGAGCCUGCAGCAGAGCCAAUAACCACCCCUGUGGCUGUGGAGGCCCCUGUAGCAGCCGUUACCAAUGAGCCUGUGGAGGCCCCAGGACCAGUGGAGGCCCCAGGACCAGUGGAGGCCCCAGGACCAGUGGAGGCCCCAGGUGAGGUGGCAGCUCCAGCCCCAGAGCCUGCAGUAGAGACUCCUACCCCUGCUCCCGAAGCCGCCCCUGAGCUUACACCAGCCGCCCCUACCCCUGCCCCAGAGCUAACACCAGCCACCCCUGCUCCUGAGGCCCCGCCUACUCCUGCCCCAGAGCUAACACCAGCCACCCCUGCUCCUGAGGCCCCGCCUACUCCUGCCCCAGAGCUAACACCAGCCACCCCUGCUCCUGUGGCCCCGCCUACUCCUGCCCCAGAGCUAACACCAGCCACCCCUACUCCUGAGGCCCCGCCUACUCCUGCCCCAGAGCUAACACCAGCCACCCCUGCUCCUGUGGCCCCGCCUACUUCUGCCCCAGAGCUAACACCAGCCACCCCUGCUCCUGUGGCCCCGCCUACUCCUGCCCCAGAGCUAACACCAGCCACCCCUGUUCCUGAGGCCCCGCCUACUCCUGCCCCAGGGCUAACACCAGCCACCCCUGCUCCCUCAGACGCACCUACCCCUGCCCCAGAGCUAACACCAGCCACCCCUGCUCCUGAGGCCCCGCCUACUCCUGCCCCAGAGCUAACACCAGCCACCCCUGCUCCUGAGGCCCCGCCUACUCCUGCCCCAGAGCUAACACCAGCCACCCCUGCUCCUGAGGCCCCGCCUACUCCUGCCCCAGAGCUAACACCAGCCACCCCUGCUCCUGAGGCCCCGCCUACUCCUGCCCCAGAGCUAACACCAGCCACCCCUGCUCCUGAGGCCCCGCCUACUCCUGCUAUCUCAAUCCCAGAGAUUGAUGGUACUCCUCCUUUAACGCUUCAUCCUCACGGACACAAUCACUCUACAUAUUUAAACCGUCAUCAAACGUCAACCCUGUCUUACUAUGAUGUUCCGGUGGUUGUGUCGGAGGUGGCACAGGCAGCAGCGGCCUUGGUGUUGGCUGGAGUGGCACAGGAAGCAGAGAAAGACAAGAAACAGAACUAAGAAGAGAGGUCAAACUGAGGAGGCCGCUG
ensembl:lncRNA